rnacentral:rRNA from 1 species
CAAUAGCGUAUAUUAAAGUUGUUGCAGUUAAAAAGCUCGUAGUUGGAUUUCUGGUGGGAGCGAUCGGUCUGGCGCUUAGCGCGAGUACUUGCAUCGUCCCCGGCCAUCCUUGGGGAGAGUCUGUCUGGCAUUAGGUUGUCGGGCAGAGGAUCCUCAUCGUUUACUGUGAAAAAAUUAGAGUGUUCGAAGCAGGCUUAUGCCGUUGAAUAUAUUAGCAUGGAAUAAUAAGAUAGGACUUUGGUACUAUUUUGUUGGUUUGCGCACCAAAGUAAUGAUUAAUAGGGACAGUUGGGGGUAUUCGUAUUCCGUUGUCAGAGGUGAAAUUCUUGGAUUUACGGAAGACGAACUACUGCGAAAGCAUUUACCAAGGAUGUUUUCAUUAA